CCCUUUGAAGGCAGGAAGAUCUCAAGGGCCCCUGGGUCCUUCCCCCCAAUUUGUCCUUCAAAGACAUUGUUAACAAUUGUAGAAAAAACCCACAUAAUAUUAAAUUUAGUACUAUUACCCGUUAGCCGGUAGGUAGGUCUGCGGGGGGAGAUGGAUUCUCAGUGUCGCACAACACAUCUUAGCACGAGUCCAUUUUGUGACUGAAACAUCUACACCCACAGCUCUGUGUUCUCUCCUCCCGCCCUGACUUGUUCUUAGUUCCUCUUUCGCUUCUAUAAACUUGACUACUUUACAUCUCACGUAAAUGGAAUCUUAGGGUAUUUGAGUUUCUGUGACGCGGUUAGUUCACUUAGCAGCAAGUCCAGAACAAUCUCCUUGUCUAAGCCUGGACACCACCUCACUGUACACAGAUGCUCCGUGCUCUUCAUCCCUCCUCUGUCUGCGGACAUAUGGGCUGCUUCCACCUCUUGACUCUUGAGAACGACACAGCAAUGUACGGGGAUGUUCAUAAAUGGCUUCCAGUUCCUAUGGAUAUGAAGUCUGAGCUGAGUUUGUGCAGUCACGUGGUGAGACAAGCUGAGCGUCCUCGUCAGAAGGAGACACUGACAGUCCGCCUCCAGUGUGACUCGUUUGUCCAGAUGAUACUUCCAGACUCUGCUGAGAAGAUGGCGACCUAAGCCAGUGUGGUCCCCGGAAACCCAUGGUGAAUUCCGUGUUGUCUGCCGGCACGUCUGGCCCGUGGACUCACAGACUCAGAGAGAUAGAGAGACGGCAUGAGCGGAGGAGGGACAGAGAG